GACGUAGGGCGCAAGCGUUGUCCGGAUUUAUUGGGCGUAAAGAGCUCGUAGGCGGUUCAUUGCGUCAAUCGUGAAAUCCUGUGGCUCAACUACAGGCUUGCUGGUUGAUACGGGUGGGCUGGAGUCGGUAGGGAGACUGGAAUUCCUGGUGGGUAGCGGUGAAAUGCGCAGAUAUCAAGGAGGAACACCGGUGGCGAAGGCGGG
rnacentral:rRNA from 1 species